UACGUAGGUGGCAAGCGUUGUCCGGAUUUAUUGGGUUUAAAGGGUGCGUAGGCGGUCAUAUAAGUCAGCGGUGAAAUCCGGCAGCUCAACUGUCGAUGUGCCAUUGAUACUGUAUGACUUGAGUACUGAUGAGGUAGGCGGAAUUGACGGUGUAGCGGUGAAAUGCUUAGAUAUCGUCAAGAACACCGAUAGCGAAGGCAGCUUACUAAGCAGUAACUGACGCUGAGGCACGAAAGUGUGGGGAUCAAACAGG
rnacentral:rRNA from 1 species